rnacentral:rRNA from 1 species
GCUUGUCUCAAAGAUUAAGCCAUGCAUGUUCAAGUAUAGCAAGUGUACAGUGAAACUGCGAAUGGCUCAUUAAAUCAGUUAUAAUUUAUUUGAUAGUGAAAUUGUACAUGGAUAACCGUGGCAAUUCUAGGGCUAAUACAUGCGUCAAUGGUCGGUCGACCAGUAUUUAUUAGAUACAAAGCCAGCCGUCAGGAUCAGGUGAAUCAUGAUAACCAAACGAAUCGCAAGCGCAAGCGGCGAUGGUUCAUUCAAAUUUCUGCCCUAUCAAGUAUCGUAUGUAGGAUAGAGGCCUACAUAGCUUAUGACGGGUGACGGAGAAUUAGGGUUCGAUUCCGGAGAGGGAGCCUGAGAAACGGCUACCACAUCCAAGGAAGGCAGCAGG